ensembl:lncRNA
AUGCUGCGGCUCAGAGGGCGACACGGGCAUUGCCGACCCCUGGGGAAGGGAGGGCAGCUUCGCAGCUGCGCGAGGAAAAACCCUUCCCGUCGGCGUCCCCUGCCUUCCAACCCCCUCCCCCCUACCUGCGUGGCUUUGUGGAACUGCUUCUUCAGGCCCGCCACAGACAUCUCGGCCGCUGGAUCACGCCCGCCCGGAACGCCGCCGCGAGGGAAGGAUGCUGGGCGCGGGACCGAACCUUCCGACGCGACUCGCUUCUCGGUCACCCCUCCUGCUGCCGGAGUGGGUGCUCAGGUGUUGGGCUCUCUGGUGCAGAAAGGCCCUGACGUCAGAGCGAGGGAACCCGGCCUCUUAAAGGGAACGCGCUCUCCGCUCUCGCCUCUCCCUCCGUGGGGAGCAAGUUUCCUCCGCCCGCAACCUCGGACUUGCUAUAUUAUUAUUAUUAUUAUUGUUGUUGUUGUUGUUGUUGUUGAGCUGGACAGGACCAGAUCCCCUUGCUGGCAGGUUUGCUCUGAAAAAAGUCCCAGUCGUGAGAGUCCUACUGCGGUGCAGCGGGCGAAGUGGUUACAUCCUCGUUUGAACCCCUCCGGGAACCCUUGCCUCCUGUGAAACCCCGACGAGGGUCGCCUUAAAUCCGGAGCGGUCUCAGAGCACCCAACGAAGGCGAGGUUACUCGCUGAAGACCGGGGAGUCGCGCCACCCGCUACAUCAACUCGGGGCCAUCAUCAGGACUGGACUCCAGUCCCGAGUGAGUGAGUGUUUGGGGAACAGCAGCGGCGAGCGUCUGGAUGCAUGCCUGGGUCCUGGAUGCAAACAUUGCUCAAGCCGAGCACACUCACGUCCAGAGCCUGGGCGUGCGACGGGGGCACUUGGGACCCAUCGGAGAGCCAGUUUUCUUCAGCCUGGCGUAGAACCAGCUUCAUUGGGAGCCGGUUCUAGAUAUGCGGUACAGGGGAAGACUACCUGUAAGGGCUUGUUUAUAACUGCAAGAAGAUUUGCCCCGUUUUCUUUUUAAGGGAAGGAACUUUAUUUAGGAGGACCUGUUGUGUAAGACAUACUAUUUCUGUACAGUAUCUUAUACAGUAUGCAUCAAAUCCAGCUGUUUCAACACUAGUAUGAGUAGCUCUCUGUAAUGGAGUGAAAAACAGCAUUGGUCGGCACCGUUUUAUAUGACUUACAAGCCAUUCAUUAUGGUCUUAAGUCCAAAACCAGCCGCUGAUUUCUCAGUCUUCAGGACGGAAUGCUGGACAGAUCUAAAAUUAAAAAUAUCCAACAGGAGGCAAAUGAAAACGAUCAAAAUACUUGGACCUAUUGACGAUUGGCAUAGGUAGAUGGGAAUCUGUGAAAGCUGCUACAGCGAUGCCACCUUCCAUGUCCAUACCAUUUAUUUUCCUCCCCACUCCCCAUCCUUCUCUCUUAUGUGUUUUCUCCUGUCUGUUCUUGUAUGGAGACAAACCUGAAUGCCCCCUGUAGUGCAGAACUAGUUGCAGUUGUUGGUGUAUGUAGCAGGAAACCAAGCAGGAUAUGGGAGGUCAAUGCUGGAGAAGGCAAGGGUCAAAGAGAGACAUGAGUUUGUAUCUUUAAAAAAAGAAUAAAAACUUUAAAUAAAGAUAUAUAAAAAAUCA